AUGUUGCAGAUACCAUCUCUUAAGAUGCGUACCCUUCUGAUUAGGUAUAUGAUUGAGAAUUUUGAUGCCAGCAAGUCUAGAUUCAUUAUACAAGAGUAGGUUGGGGAGGUGACUCUCGGUGCGGUCGACGUCGAGUGCAUCUUUAACCUCGAGAACCAAGGACUCUCCGCUUCGGACAUUCUGAUUGAAGGAGAGGACAUGAAGGAGCGGGUGCCACCACAAUUUCUCAGUAAGACAUCAGAAAACAUAGUGAUAGAUAAUCUCAUUGAGGACAUAAUUAAAAGUAAAGCCACCGACAAUGAUUUUUUUUGGAAAUUAGUCCUUGUCCUGUUAGGAACAAUUAUUGCUCCCAUGUCGAGCAAGAUUGUGCCAAAGCAGUACUACACUUUGGUCCAUGAUGUGAAACGUAUUUCAAAGAUUAACUGGAAUGCCUUCACCCUGCGUGUUCUACUCGAUUGCCUUCGCAUAGUGAAGAAAGGAAAACACCUACGCCAAUGGCCAAAAGGCAAUUUGGCUUUGUUGCAGGUACACAAAUGA
rnacentral:rRNA from 1 species